UACAGAGGGGGCAAGCGUUGUUCGGAAUUACUGGGCGUAAAGGGCGCGUAGGCGGCCUUCUAAGUCGAACGUGAAAUCCCCGGGCUCAACCCGGGAACUGCGUCCGAUACUGGAAGGCUUGAAUCCGGGAGAGGGAUGCGGAAUUCCAGGUGUAGCGGUGAAAUGCGUAGAUAUCUGGAGGAACACCGGUGGCGAAGGCGGCUCACUGGACCGGAACUGACGCUGAGGCGCGAAAGCGUGGGGAGCAAACAGG
rnacentral:rRNA from 1 species